AUUGAACGCUGGCGGCAUGCUUUACACAUGCAAGUCGAACGGUAACAGGCCUUCGGGCGCUGACGAGUGGCGAACGGGUGAGUAAUGCAUCGGAACGUGCCCAGUCGUGGGGGAUAACGCAGCGAAAGCUGUGCUAAUACCGCAUACGAUCUGCGGAUGAAAGCGGGGGACCUCCGGGCCUCGCGCGAUUGGAGCGGCCGAUGUCAGAUUAGGUAGUUGGUGGGGUAAAGGCUCACCAAGCCAACGAUCUGUAGCUGGUCUGAGAGGACGACCAGCCACACUGGGACUGAGACACGGCCCAGACUCCUACGGGAGGCAGCAGUGGGGAAUUUUGGACAAUGGGCGCAAGCCUGAUCCGGCAAUGCCGCGUGCAGGAAGAAGGCCUUCGGGUUGUAAACUGCUUUUGUACGGAGCGAAAAGGCUCCCUCUAAUACAGGGGGCUCAUGACGGUACCGUAAGAAUAAGCACCGGCUAACUACGUGCCAGCAGCCGCCGUAAAAC
rnacentral:rRNA from 1 species